rnacentral:rRNA from 1 species
AUUGAACGCUGGCGGCAGGCUUAACACAUGCAAGUCGAGCGGUAGCACAGGGGAGCUUGCUCCCUGGGUGACGAGCGGCGGACGGGUGAGUAAUGUCUGGGAAACUGCCUGAUGGAGGGGGAUAACUACUGGAAACGGUAGCUAAUACCGCAUAACGUCGCAAGACCAAAGAGGGGGACCUUCGGGCCUCUUGCCAUCAGAUGUGCCCAGAUGGGACUAGCUAGUAGGUGGGGUAAUGGCUCACCUAGGCGACGAUCCCUAGCUGGUCUGAGAGGAUGACCAGCCACACUGGAACUGAGACACGGUCCAGACUCCUACGGGAGGCAGCAGUGGGGAAUAUUGCACAAUGGGCGCAAGCCUGAUGCAGCCAUGCCGCGUGUGUGAAGAAGGCCUUCGGGUUGUAAAGCACUUUCAGCGAGGAGGAAGGUGGUGAGCUUAAUACGUUCAUCAAUUGACGUUACUCGCAGAAGAAGCACCGGCUAACUCCGUG